rnacentral:rRNA from 1 species
AUUGAACGCUGGCGGUAUGCUUAACACAUGCAAGUCGAACGAUGAGAAAGAGCUUGCUCUUUCGAUUAGUGGCGGACGGGUGCGUAACGCGUAGGAAUCUACCUAUUAGUGGGGGACAACUUAGGGAAACUUAAGCUAAUACCGCAUACGCCCUACGGGGGAAAGAAGGGGAUCGCAAGACCUUUUGCUAAUAGAUGAGCCUGCGUAGGAUUAGCUAGUUGGUGGGGUAAAAGCUCACCAAGGCGACGAUCCUUAACUGGUUUGAGAGAAUGAUCAGUCACACUGGAACUGAGAAGCGGUCCAGACUCCUACGGGAGGAAGAAGUGGGGAAUAUUGGACAAUGGGCGAAAGCCUGAUCCAGCAAUACCGCGUGUGGGAAGAAGGCCUUAGGGUUGUAAAGCACUUUCAAUUGGAAGGAAAACCUCGAGGCUAAUACCUUCGAGUUUGACAUUACCUUUAGAAGAAGCACCGGCUAACUCCGUGCCAGCCGCCGCUGUAAUAC